AUCACUGCAUGCCUAAACUAUGGAACUGACAGACUGUCACAUUCCAUCUCACAAGCUCAUGGGCACUGAUUACACGCUGUCCACAAACUCGAGCAUGAACCUGUCUUAUUAAUGUUUAGAUGAUCCACCCAGACUCUGUUUUUCUUCAAAGCACUCGGUGCAACGCUGCAGGCUGUUGUCUCUGCAGCUCAAAGAUAACGGUUCCCCAGGCCAGUGAUGUGACCUACGUUCUGUCUGGAGAGACGGGCUACCUUGGCUGUAAAGUCGUAUGUAAAGGCCAACUUGAUGAGCUCAGGCGCCGUAUGUGGGAUGGUGGGAGGAUUGUGGGUCGCCAUCGCUUCCUUCUCCAGAUAUGCAUCGGCCAACUUCUGAAAGGAAGAGUAGGUCAUCCGCUGGAAGAAGCCGCUCAGGGUGGGGUUAUCUUUCAGCUGGAGGGAGAUAAGGAGAUGACGGCUGUCAGCAGAUUCAACAUACUUUGACCUGUGUGAAUCUUUAAUGCUAAUAAACAUGGAUAAAUCCACAGUGACAACAC